GAUGAACGCUAGCUACAGGCUUAACACAUGCAAGUCGAGGGGAAACGAUAGAGAAAGCUUGCUUUUUCUAGGCGUCGACCGGCGCACGGGUGAGUAACGCGUAUCCAACCUGCCCAUCACUUGGGGAUAACCUUGCGAAAGUAAGACUAAUACCCAAUGACGUCUCUAGAAGACAUCUGAAGGAGAUUAAAGAUUUAUCGGUGAUGGAUGGGGAUGCGUCUGAUUAGCUUGUUGGCGGGGUAACGGCCCACCAAGGCGACGAUCAGUAGGGGUUCUGAGAGGAAGGCCCCCCACAUUGGAACUGAGACACGGUCCAAACUCCUACGGGAGGCAGCAGUGAGGAAUAUUGGGUCAAUGGACGAGAGUCUGAACCAGCCAAGUAGCGUGCAGGAUGACGGCCCUAUGGGUUGUAAACUGCUUUUCUUAGUGACGAAGACAGUGACGGUAGCUAAGGAUAAGCAUCGGCUAACUACGUGCCAGCAGCCG
rnacentral:rRNA from 1 species